rnacentral:rRNA from 1 species
GACGAACGCUGGCGGCGUGCUUAACACAUGCAAGUCGAACGGAAAGGCCCUGCUUUUGUGGGUGCUCGAGGGGCGAACGGGGUAGUAACACGUGAGUAACCUGCCCUUGACUUUGGGAUUACUUUAGGAAACUGGGGCUAAUACCGGAUAGGAGCUCCUGCUGCAUUGUGGGGGGUGGAAAGUUUCGGCGGUUGGGGAUGGACUCGCGGCUUAUCAGCUUGUUGGUGGGGUAGUGGCUUACCAAGGCUUUGACGGGUAGCCGGCCUGAGAGGGUGACCGGCCACAUUGGGACUGAGAUACGGCCCAGACUCCUACGGGAGGCAGCAGUGGGGAAUAUUGCACAAUGGGCGGAAGCCUGAUGCAGCAACGCCGCGUGCGGGAUGACGGCCUUCGGGUUGUAAACCGCUUUCGCCUGUGACGAAGCGUGAGUGACGGUAAUGGGUAAAGAAGCACCGGCUAACUACGUG